GGAAAAGGAGAAGAACCUCUAACAUUCCCACUGUUGAUCCAGAAUCAACCGGAUUACUGCCACAUUGUGACACAUCCCAUUGACAUGAUGAAGAUCCAGCAGAAGCUGAAGAUGGAGGAGUACGAUGAUGUGGACCAGAUAACGUCUGACUUUCAGCUCUUAUUCAACAAUGCAAAGGCAUACUACAAGGUAAUAUAUCCCUGCCUGUAAUAACAAACACAUUCACUUGCUGGACUCUUUAGGGGAGAGAAGUAAUGUAAUGUUGUAUGAAGGAGUUUUCCUAAUAAAUGCCCUGUCUAUGGCUUAAACCUGGAAUUGACCAAAUGAAAGGGAGUGUGUUGCAUGUCUGUAGCCAGACUCUCCAGAGUGCAGAGCAGCCUAUAAGCUGUGGGACCUCUACCUGCGCACUAAGAAUGAGUUUGUCCAGCGGGGGGAUUAUGAUGACGAUGAUGAGGACGGGGACGAUGCACAAGAUAAUCCUGGAGAGUCGGAUGAGAAUGCACCCAGUUGCCUGAAGGAGGUCCUUGAGCAGCUGUUGGAUGCGGUGGUGAAAUUCUCAGAGCCCUCUGGCAUUUAGUCAGUGAUCUGUUCCAUAAACUACCAGUGACUAUUAUGCCAUAGUAAAGGACCCAAUAGAUCUGAAAAUCAUUUCCCAGAAGAUACAGAUGAGCCUCUACAGAAGUGUUAGCGCCAUGGCAAAAGACAUAGAUCUCCUGGCCAAGAAUGCCAAAACGUACAAUGGGCCUGGGUCACAGGUUUUUACGGAUGCCAACACCAUCAGAAAUAUUUUUUUCACAGAGAAAGACAGAAAUUGAGCAUGCUGAGCCCAUCAAAUCCGGCAUUCACAUCAAGGUCUGUCCACUAUGACGAGGGGGAGUCGGAGGCAGAGAGCAUCCACCACAGCAUGGACAUGAGUACCCCCAUCUUCCAGCUGUACGAGGCUGUGCGGGGCGGAAGGAACAGCCAGGGACAGCUUAUCGCCGAGCCUUUCCUCCAGCUGCCCUCCAGGAAUGACUACCCAGACUACUACCAGCAGAUCAGCCAGCCCAUCUCCCUGCAACAGAUUAGUAUUGCUUCAGGUGAGAAGUGGCUGUAUGGCUGCUGGUUCUACAGGCCAAAUUAAACAUUCCAUCUUGCUACACGCAAGUUCCUGGAGAAGGAAGUCUUCAAGAGCGACUACUUCAACAAGAUUCCCAUCAGCAUGAUACUGGGAAAAGGUGUUGUCAUGUUUGUCAAGCAGUGAAAGAUGUGCGACUGACCAAGGAGCAGGAGAGCCGGCUGCCGUCCCAUUGGCUGAAGAGCAAGGGCGCCCAUUCCACAAUGGCAGACUCACUGUGGCGUCUGCAAGACCUGAUGCUGCGUGACACACUGAACAUCCGCCAGACGAACAACCAGUAGGACAUCUGAGCCACUGCUCCCUACACUGUCAGACAGGAAAUGGGUUUAGGCUCAUUUGAAAAUGUGUAAAUGUUGUUUUGUUAUGUUACGUUAAUGUGGGCAUUCGUUUGUAGAAUGGUUAAAUUAGCUUGCUUACUCUGUUCAAGCUGUUUUGUGUUUGCAUUUUAAUUGUUCUAACAAGUGCAUUAUUGUAUUUAAUGUUUCUGUGAUGGAUAAAC